rnacentral:rRNA from 1 species
CGGGACGGGUGAGUAACGCGUGGAUAACCUGCCUUUCACAGGGGGAUAACAGCUGGAAACGGCUGCUAAUACCGCAUGAGCCUCUUUUGUCGCAUGACGGGAGAGGGAAAGAGAAAUCGGUGAGAGAUGGAUCCGCGUCCGAUUAGCUAGUUGGAGGGGUAACAGCCCACCAAGGCGACGAUCGGUAGCCGACCUGAGAGGGUGGACGGCCACAUUGGGACUGAGACACGGCCCAAACUCCUACGGAAGGCAGCAG